rnacentral:tRNA from 1 species
UCCUCGGUAGCUCACUGGCAGAGCAAGCGGCUGUUAACCGCUUGGUAGCUGGUUCGAUUCCAGCCCGAGGAGCCA